UGGGGUGUCUUGAGUUCUUCCCUCCUCUGCAUUCUCCCACUGAAAUAGAUCAGAAGACAGCUUCUCAAGUCAGAUGUCUGUAUGGAAUGAAUCUUGAGAAACAAAUCCGAUUGGCUGAGACAAGACUCUGAAUCGCUUCAUCUUGGAUUAAAUGGACUCACCCUGGUCCGAUUAGCUGUAACCACAAGGGUAGAUGAUACAGUGCAAAUAGUGCUGUCUAUCAGGAAGGAUUUGUUGGCACAGAUUCAUCUGUGUUCCCACACCAGGAUCCCUUCAAGACCAAAUGCAAGGUCAAGAUGGUCUGUCGUCAGCAGAGCAGAUUUGGGAAACCAACUCAUAAUCUUGGCUUCAUAAUUAAGGGCUCUAACCCAGCACUCCUCAAACUUUAAUGUACACACAAGUCACCUGAGAUCUUGUUAAAAGGCAUCACAAAAAUAAAAGGAAU